GGGCAGCACAGGUAGCAAUACCGGGUGGCGACCGGCGCACGGGUGAGUAACGCGUAUGCAACUUACCUAUCAGAGGGGGAUAACCCGGCGAAAGUCGGACUAAUACCGCAUGAAGCAGGGGCCCCGCAUGGGGAUAUUUGCUAAAGAUUCAUCGCUGAUAGAUAGGCAUGCGUUCCAUUAGGCAGUUGGCGGGGUAACGGCCCACCAAACCGACGAUGGAUAGGGGUUCUGAGAGGAAGGUCCCCCACAUUGGUACUGAGACACGGACCAAACUCCUACGGGAGGCAGCAGUGAGGAAUAUUGGUCAAUGGGCGUAAGCCUGAACCAGCCAAGUCGCGUGAGGGAUGAAGGUUCUAUGGAUCGUAAACCUCUUUUAUAAGGGAAUAAAGUGCGGGACGUGUCCCGUUUUGUAUGUACCUUAUGAAUAAGGAUCGGCUAACUCCGUGCCAGCAGCCGCGGUAAUACGGAGGAUCCGAGCGUUAUCCGGAUUUAUUGGGUUUAAAGGGUGCGUAGGCGGCCUUUUAAGUCAGCGGUGAAAGUCUGUGGCUCAACCAUAGAAUUGCCGUUGAAACUGGGGGGCUUGAGUAUGUUUGAGGCAGGCGGAAUGCGUGGUGUAGCGGUGAAAUGCUUAGAUAUCACGCAGAACCCCGAUUGCGAAGGCAGCCUGCCAAGCCAUGACUGACGCUGAUGCACGAAAGCGUGGGGAUCAAACAGGAUUAGAUACCCUGGUAGUCCACGCAGUAAACGAUGAUCACUAGCUGUUUGCGAUACACUGUAAGCGGCACAGCGAAAGCGUUAAGUGAUCCACCU
rnacentral:rRNA from 1 species